rnacentral:rRNA from 1 species
UACAGAGGGGGCAAGCGUUGUUCGGAAUUACUGGGCGUAAAGCGUGCGCAGGCGGUUGUGCAAGACAGAUGUGAAAUCCCCGGGCUCAACCUGGGAAUUGCAUUUGUGACUGCACGGCUAGAGUGUGUCAGAGGGGGGUAGAAUUCCACGUGUAGCAGUGAAAUGCGUAGAGAUGUGGAGGAAUACCGAUGGCGAAGGCAGCCCCCUGGGAUAACACUGACGCUCAUGCACGAAAGCGUGGGGAGCAAACAGG